CUUGACGCGGGUACACCUGUCCGCUUAUGUGCAGGCUAACAAUGUAACACAUGGUGGCAGUGGGACUAAUGCUGGAAUAAUCACAUUUAUCCUUGAAUGGAAGAAGUCUCCUCUUGAAGCUCGUCGACUCCUGUUCUAUCAUGUGUGAAGAGGUGAGGGUCUGAAAGCAGAGAAAGACUGGACUCAGCUUGACGUGAAUUCCCAAGUCCGAAACAGGAGUUAAUUUAUUACAUCCAUGAAAAGUCCUACACUGAGGAAAAGUACAGCAUUCAUAUCCAGGAAGAAGAUCUUACAAGAGUCUAAAGUACAGCACAAGAAACCAUGAAUAUGCAGUCGACUGUGUUUGCUAUUGCUGUUCAUGAGAAUCAAGACUGGCACUCCCUGCAGUGAAAUUCCACAGGGGGUAACCGACGGCAGUUUCGAGGCACUCCACCAGGGAGCCUGCUGAGAGGAAGUCCAGCUCCACCUCAAUGAAUUUCAUGUAAA